rnacentral:lncRNA from 1 species
CAAAGAGAGGGGUCAGCUGAGGGGCAUCAAAGAAGAAAGGACUGAGGUGGUUCAGGUGAAGAAUGGACUGAGGGGGCUUGAGGGAGAAUGGGCUGAGGGGACUCGGGGGAGGAUGGACUGAGGAAACUCGGGGGAGGAUGGACUGAGGGGACUCGGGGAGAAUGGACUGAGGGGACUUGGGGGAAAAUGGACUGAGGGGACUCGGGGGAAAAUGGACUGAGGGGACUCAGGGGAAAAUGGACUGAGGAUACUCUCGGAGGAUGAACUGAGGAUACUCGCGGAGGAUGCACUGAGGAUACUCGGGGGAGGACGGACUGAGGGGAUUCGGGGAGAAUGGACUGAGGGGACUUGGGGGAAAAUGGACUGAGGGGACUCGAGGGAAAAUGGACUGAGGGGACUCGCGGAGGAUGCACUGAGGAUACUCGCGGAGGAUGCACUGAGGAUACUCGCGGAGGAUGGACUGAGGUUACUCGCGGAGGAUGGACUGAGGAUACUCGCGGAGGAUGGACUGAGGAUACUCGGGGGAAAAUGGACUGAGGGGACUCGGGGGAAAAUGGACUGAGGAUACUCGGGGGAAAAUGGACUGAGGGGACUCGCGGAGGAUGAACUGAGGAUACUCGCGGAGGAUGGACUGAGGAUACUCGCGGAGGAUGGACUGAGGAUACUCGGGGGAAAAUGGACUGAGGGGACCCGGGGGAGGAUAGACUCAGGAUACUCAGAGAGGAUGGACUGAGGGGACUCGGGGGAGGAUGGAUUCAGGAUACUCAGAGAGGAUGGACUGAGGGGGCUCGGGGGAGGAUGGACUCAGGAUACGCAGAGAGGAUGGACUGAGGGGACUCAGGGGAGGAUGGACUGAGGAUACUUGGGAGAGGAUGGACUGAGGAUAUUCGGAGAGGAUGGACUGAGGGGACUCGGGAGAGGUUGGACUGAGGAUACUCGGAGAGGAUGGAUUGAGGGGACUCGGGGGAGGAUGGACUGAGGAUACUCGCAGAGGAUGGACUGAGGGGACUCGGGGGAGGAUGGACUGAGGAUACUCAGAGAGGAUGGACUGAGGGGACUCGGGGGAGGAUGGACUGAGGAUACUCGGAGAGGAUGGACUGAGGGGACUCGGGGGAGGAUGGACUCAGGAUACUCGGAGAGGAUGGACUGAGGGGACUUGGGGGAGGAUGGACUCAGGAUACUCAGGAUGGACUGAGGGGACUCGGGGGAGGAUGGACUCAGGAUACUCAGAGAGGAUGGACUGAGGGGACUCAGGGGAGGAUGGACUGAGGAUACUCGGAGAGGAUGGACUGAGGGGACUUGGGGGAGGAUGGACUCAGGAUACUGAGAGAGGAUGGACUGAGGGGACUCAGGGCAGGAUGGACUGAGGAUACUAGCGGAAGAUGGACUGAGAAGACUCGGGGAAGAGUGGACUGAGGAUACUCGCGGAGGACGGACUGAGAAGACUCGGGGGACGAUGCACUGAGGAUACUCGUGGAGGAUGGACUGAGAAGACUCAGGGAGGAUGGGCUGAAGAUACUCGGGGAGGAUGCACUGAGGAUACUUGGAGAGGAUGGACUGAGAGGACUCGGGGAAGAAUGGACUGAGGGGACUCGGAGAGGAUGGAUUGAGGAUACUCUGGGGAGGAUGCACUGAGGGCGCUCUGGGAAGGAUGAACUGAGGAGACUCAUGAAUAGUCUCCCACUACUCUAUCAGAGAUAACCACAUUUUAGCAAACACUCCGUUGGAGUCACCCCAUGCACACAUGUGUACAUGCAGCCAAGCCUUUUCCCACGCUAUUAGCUGGUGCAAGUUCCAUCCCUGGAUUUUAAGCAUGGGUCGCCUGGAAGAGCUUUGUUAGAGGAAGAAGAAAGAGGUGUAUCUCAGGAAAAUCCUGGUUCCCAAAGUUGCACAUUAUGUCAGAUGUACCUGUCUUUGACGGCUGGGAGAGCGGACAAGACCCUGCCCCAGCCCUGGCCAGGAAUGGUGGCUGGUGAGCCCCUAGUUGCAGGCAACCUGGACCUGUCCUCGCGGCACCUGAAGAGGGGAAAGGAGACUUGAGGAGAAUGACUGUCCCCAGGCGACCGCCCAUGAACACCUGAGCACCCAUCUGAUAAACAGCCUGGAGUCACUGGAGAGUGACAGCUUCCAUGUAUAUUCAUAUAUGCUCACCAUUAUUUUUCAUAACCACAUCACAUUGCAUCAUUUUAAUGUAUCAUAAUUUUCUCAACCAGCCCCAUCCAGAAGCUUCUUAACCCAAUCUCUUUCUAAGGCCCUCCAAAGGGCUGGAAGAGGGAGCAUCUUUAUUUUGCUGCUGCCAUCAGGGGUCUUGGGAGAGUCCCCUUGGAUCCUGAUUUUUCAGGGCUUGAUACCUGAGAAUAACUGACAGAAAUUUUGAGAACUGUGCCCCCAGUAAUAACAAUAAUUAACAUUGUUUUCAGUACUCUGGGCCAGGCACUGUUCUAAGCACUUUGUACAUAUUAUCUAAGUGACUCUUCACAACAACAACCUUCUGAGGGAGUUCAGCAUGCCCUGCCAAAUCUUACCCAUAGAACAGAUGCCUGUGGCGCUGCGGUGGUGCCCAACAGCUCUGAGUUUCAGCCUCUUCUUCCUGGGACUUAACCUCUCACUCUCCACUGCUGUCCUUUGAACACACAGGAGUAAAUUGGUGAGCACCAUUCAUUCAAAUGCACGGUGAGAAGUGUAGUGGGGAGAUGCAAAAGAAGAAUGAAAUAGCCCACAGAAGAUUUCCACACAAGCUGAUAAAUAUACACCUGUGGUUCUCGUUAACCACAGGAGUCAGUGUGGCCCUGUGUGAUAUAAUAAAGAAUAAACCUUUGGUCUCUGCCCCUAGUUCCUGGCACCGUGCUCCUGAAACCCUUGUACUUUCCUAAGUGAUAGUCGUGCUAGGAGCAUCUUUUGUUCUAAUAUUUAGUCUUUGACCUUGGUUCCUGACACAGAGCUCCUAAAUCCCUUGGAAUUUCCUGGAUAAUAGGUGCAUCUUUUGUUCUAAUGAGGUGACUCUUGGUGGGCCCCUGGAUGGGGGCUGCUCACUAGAAAGACCUCAGCAUGAUCAGAGGCUCGGAACAUUCAGCCCCACCCCCAUCCCCAGGGAGGGGAGAGGAGUUGGAUAUUAAAUUAAUAAUUGAUUCUGCCUUUGUGAUGAAGCCGCCAUAAAAAUCCCUCAAGCACAGGGUGUGGAGGGAUUCUGUGCAGGUGAACACAUCCAUGAACCAGGAGGGUGGUGCCCCCCAACUCCACUGGAACAGAAGCUCCUGUGCUGGGGACCCUCCAGCCCUCGCCCUAUGCAUCUCCCCUUCCGGCAGCUCAUCUGUGUUUUUAUCUAUCCUCUAGGAUAGAAUAAACUGGUAAAUGUGUUCCCCUGUGUUCUGCGAGCUGUUGUAAGAAAUUAUCAAGCAAAAGGGGUUGUGGGAACCCCAGUUUAUAGCCAGUCGUGGGUCAGAAGUACAGGUGGCAAGUUGGGGCCUGCAGUUGGCAUCUGAAGUGGGGGCAUCUUAUGAGUUCUUAACUUGUGGAUCCCUCACUAACUCCAAGUAGAUAGUGUUAGAGCUGAAUGGAAUUGUGGGACACACAUUUGUUGUCUGCAGAGAAUUGGAGAAGUGCUUGGUGUGGGAAAUCACUUACAUAUUUGGUGUCAGAAAUGUUGAGAAUAUAGAGAAAAACUGUUUGCUUUUCCUGUAUACCCAGGAAGCCCCAAGCCUUUUAAAUUAUGGUAACAAAAAUCAGAGAAAUGCAGCAGGCAGUUGGGCUGUAUGUACUAUGUUUAAGAAAAGAACAAUAACAACAACAACAAAAAACCUUUAGAACUCACAAAUUCUCAUGGUGUUGUCCUUCAAAGCUUACCCUUGGAUGACCUUCUGCUCAUUCCCAGGAUACUCCAUGUACUGCUCUAGAAGAGCCUUUUCCCUGUGGAGGCCCAGGAGCCCAGCCCCAGAAUUAAGAGAGAAGGGACUAACACACCCCACCGUGAAUGGGCUCUAAGCCCAGUGCAGUCCUGUCCUCUUGGUUCAUUCUGGUGGUAGAAUUUUGGGCCAUGCACCCUUUAUGCA